CUACGUAGCUCAGAGUUUGAUCCUGGCUCAGGACGAACGCUGGCGGCGUGCCUAACACAUGCAAGUCGAGCGGGGACUUGGGUGCUUGCACCUGGGUUCUAGCGGCGGACGGGUGAGUAACGCGUGAGCAACCUGCCUCAAACUGGGGGAUAACGCAUCGAAAGAUGUGCUAAUACCGCGUAAGACCACGCUACCACAUGGUAGAGGGGUCAAAGGAGCAAUCCGGUUUGAGAUGGGCUCGCGUCCGAUUAGCUAGUUGGCGGGAUAACAGCCCACCAAGGCGACGAUCGGUAGCCGACCUGAGAGGGUGAUCGGCCACAUUGGAACUGAGAUACGGUCCAG
rnacentral:rRNA from 1 species